AUUGAACGCUGGCGGCAGGCUUAACACAUGCAAGUCGAGCGGAGAUGAGGUGCUUGCACCUUAUCUUAGCGGCGGACGGGUGAGUAAUGCUUAGGAAUCUGCCUAUUAGUGGGGGACAACAUUCCGAAAGGAAUGCUAAUACCGCAUACGUCCUACGGGAGAAAGCAGGGGAUCUUCGGACCUUGCGCUAAUAGAUGAGCCUAAGUCGGAUUAGCUAGGUGGUGGGGUAAAGGCCUACCAAGGCGACGAUCUGUAGCGGGUCGGAGAGGAUGAUCCGCGACACUGGGACUGAGAAAGGGCCCAGGGUCCUACGGGUGGCAGCAGUGGGGAAUAUUGGGCAAUGGGGGGAACCCUGAUCCAGCCAUGCCGCGUGUGUGAAGAAGGCCUUAUGGUUGUAAAGCACUUUAAGCGAGGAGGAGGCUACUGAGACUAAUACUCUUGGAUAGUGGACGUUACUCGCAGAAUAAGCACCGGCUAACUCUGUGCCAGCCGCCGCAGUAACAC
rnacentral:rRNA from 1 species